UUGAACGCAUGGCGACGUGCUUAACACAUGCAAGUCGUGCCCGAGAAAAGGAGGCUUCGGUCUCUGAGUUAGAGCAGGCGCACGGGUGAGUAACGGCGUGGAUGAUCUACCCUUGAGUUCGCAGGAUAACGGGCGCGAAAGUGCCGCUAAUACCGUAUAACAAUCCAUUUCAACGUGGGUUCAAAGCAGGCCUCUUCAUGAAAGCUUGCGCUUGGGGAUGAGUCCGCGUCCCAUUAGCUUGUUGGCGGGGGUAAUGGCCCACCAAGGCUACGAUGGGUAGCUGGUCUGAGAGGAUGACCAGCCACACUGGAACUGAAACACGGUCCAGACUCCUACGGGAGGGCAGCAGUGGGGAAUAUUGCGCAAUGGGGGAAACCCUGACGCAGCGACGUCGUGUGAGGGAAGAAGGCCUUCGGGUCGUAAACCUCUGUCAGAAGGGAAGCACCACCAGGAGUCGAAUAGGCUCUUUGGUCUGACGGUACCUUCAGAGGAAGCGCCGGCUAACUCCGUGCCAGCAGCCGCGGUAAUACGGAGGGCGCAAGCGUUAAUCGGAAUCACUGGGCGAUAAAGCGCGCGCCUAGGCUGUUUGAUAAGUCGAGGCGUGAAAUCCCUCGGCUCAACCGGGGAACUGCGUUGAUUACUGUUGAACUCGAGUCCUGGAGAGGGUUGGCGGAAUUCCUGGUGUAGGAGUGAAAUCCGUAGAUAUCAGGAGGAACACCGGUGGCGAAGGCGGCCACCUGGACAGGUACUGACGCUGAGGCGCGAAAGCGUGGGGAGCAAACAGGAUUAGAUACCCUGUGUAGUUCCACGCGGUAAACGAUGGAUGCUAGGUGUCGGGGAGCGAUCUUCGGUGCCGCAGCUAAGCGCUUAAGCAUCCCCGCCUGGGGAGUACGGUCGCAAGGCUGAAACUCAAAGGAAUUGACGGGGGCCCGCACAAGCGGUGGAGUAUGUGGUUUAAUUCGAAUUGGCACGCGAAGAACCUUACCUGGGUUAUGACAUCCCCGCGGAAUCCCUCCGAAAAGAGGGAGUUGCCCCUUCGGGGAGAGCGCGGAGAACAGGUGCUGCAUGGCUGGCGUCAAGCUCGUGCCGUGUAGGUGUUGGGUUAAGUCCCGCAUACGAGCGCAACCCUUGUCCUUAGUUGCUACCGGGUAAUGCCGGGCGCUCUAGGGAGGCCGCCUCGGUCAACGGGGAGGAAGGUGGGGGAUGACGUCAAAGUCAUCAUCGGCCCUUACGCCCAGGGCUACACACGUACUUAACAAUGGCGGAUACCUAAGGGGUACGCUAAACCGCGAGGUGGAGCCGAACCCCUAAAAAGUCCGUCUCAGUUCGGAUUGCUAGUCUGCAACUCGACUGCCUGAAGCUGGAAAUCGCUAGUAAUCGCGCAUCAGCAUGGCGCGGUGAAUACGUUCCCGGGCCUUGUACAGCACCGCCCGUCACCCCACGAAAGUUGGUUCUACCCGAAUGCGGCCGCCGGGCUAACCGCAAGGAGGCAGGCGUCUACGGUAGGCCGAUGAUUGGGGUG
rnacentral:rRNA from 1 species